UACGUGAAACUGAGCUGGUAAAAGCGGACAGACUCGAAAAGUGCGAACAGAGCUGAUUCACGCCGACCCUGUAGGCCACUGUGGUGUAGAGAUACGUUUCCCUCGGGAAUAGGCACUCUGCGCUGCUUUGCGUCGAAAGGGGAGGCUGCACUUCUACUUAGUAGCACGUCGCGGCUCGUUGAGUCGUCGUUCUAAGGCCCGCGAUGGAGCCCUCGCCUUGUGCGUUGACUCGUGGUGUCCCGAUCGGCGCUCGACGGUGCUUGUACGGACGGAACCUCCAAUGAGAGUCUGUGUCCCGUUAAAAGGGGGCAAACGGACUUGGUUCCGUCGGUCCGCGGCGCUUCUGCUUUCGACAUCUGUCCGUCCCGUCUUGAAACACGGACCAAGGAGUCUAACAUGUGCGCGAGUCAUUGGGCUCGCGAAACCUAAAGGCGAAAUGAAAGUAAAGGCUGGUGCAAACCGGUUUAGGGGUGAUGGUCGCGCUUCCAUGCCGGCCCGCAACCCCGGGGCGUCACAUUCUCUUGAGAAGUGGCGUACCUUGAGCGCACACGUUGGUACCCGAAAGAUGAUGAACUAUGCCUGGCCAGGGUGAAGUCAGGGGAAACCCUGAUGGAAGCCCGUAGCGAUUCUGACGUGCAAAUCGAUCGUCAGAGC
rnacentral:rRNA from 1 species